GGGGUUGUGGCUCAGUGGUAAGAGCACUUGCCUUGCAUGUGCAAGGCCCUGGGUUCGAUUCUCAGCACCA
rnacentral:tRNA from 1 species